rnacentral:tRNA from 1 species
AGUAAGAUAAGCUAAAUAAGCUAUUGGGCCCAUACCCCAAAAAUGAAGGUUAAAACCCCUCUCCUACUA